GCGCGAAAACUCCGCAAUGCGCGGAAGCGUGACGGGGUCACCCCGAGUGCCAUCCGCUGAGGGUGGCUUUUGCCCGGUUUAAUGAGCCGGGUGAAUAAGGGGAGGGCAAGCCUGGUGUCAGCCGCCGCGGUAAUACCAGCUCCUCGAGUGGUUGGGACGAUUAUUGGGUUUAAAGCGUUCGUAGCCGGUCGGAAAAGUUCUCCGUUAAAUCCAACGAUCCAAUCGUUGGGCUGCGGGGAAUACUCUUCGGCUUGGGGGCGGGGGAGGUCGACGGUAGUCCCGGGGUAGGGGCGAAAUCCUAUAAUCCCGGGAGGACCACCAGUGGCGUAGGCGGUCGACUAAAACGCGCCCGACGGUGAGGGACGAAAGCUGGGGGAGCGAACGGGAUUAGAUACCCCGGUAGUCCCAGCUGUAAACGAUGCAGGCUAGGUGUUGGGACGGCCACGAGCCGUCUCAGUGCCGCAGGGUAACCAUUAAGCCUGCCACCUGGGAAGUACGGCCGCAAGGCUGAAACUUAAAGGAAUUGGCGGGGGAGCACCACAAGGGGU
rnacentral:rRNA from 1 species